rnacentral:rRNA from 3 species
ACAAAACGACUCUCGGCAACGGAUAUCUCGGCUCUUGCAUCGAUGAAGAACGUAGCGAAAUGCGAUACGUGGUGUGAAUUGCAGAAUCCCGUGAACCAUCGAGUUUUUGAACGCAAGUUGCGCCCAAAGCCUUUUGGUUGAGGGCACGUCUGCCUGG